rnacentral:rRNA from 1 species
AUUGAACGCUGGCGGCAGGCUUAACACAUGCAAGUCGAACGAGUGGCGGACGGGUGAGUAAUGCUUGGGAAUCUGGCUUAUGGAGGGGGAUAACUACGGGAAACUGUAGCUAAUACCGCGUACCAUAGGAUGAGCCCAAGUGGGAUUAGGUAGUUGGUGAGGUAAAGGCUCACCAAGCCGACGAUCUCUAGCUGGUCUGAGAGGAUGACCAGGCACACUGAACGUGAGGCACGGCCCAGACGACAACUGGAGGCAGGAAUGGUGAAUAGUGCGCAAGGGGAGAAACAUGACACAGCCAGGCCGCGUGGAGGAGGAAGUCAUUCAGGUUGUAAAGUUGUUUGGGUAGAGAGGCGGUAGCUGCAGAAGAAGCACCGGCUAACUCCGUGCCGGCAGACGCGGUAAGAC